rnacentral:sRNA from 1 species
GCUGGGCAUGGUGGCUCAGGCCUGUAAUCCUAGUGGCUUAGGAGGCUGAGGCAGGAGGAUCACGUGUUCAAAACCAGCCUCAGCAAAGGCCCUAAGCAACUCAGCAAGACCCUGUCUCUA